UACGGAGGAUCCAAGCGUUAUCCGGAAUUACUGGGCGUAAAGAGUUGCGUAGGUGGCAUAGUAAGCGAAUAGUGAAAGCGUGUGGCUCAACCAUACUCACAUUAUCCGAACUGCUAAGCUAGAGUAUGAGAGAGGUAGAUGGAAUUCCCUGUGUAGGAGUGAAAUCCGUAGAUAUAGGGAGGAACACCGAUGGCGUAGGCAGUCUACUGGCUCAUUACUGACACUCAGGCACGAAAGCGUGGGUAGCAAACGGG
rnacentral:rRNA from 1 species